rnacentral:rRNA from 1 species
AGUGAACGCUGGCGGUAGGCCUAACACAUGCAAGUCGAACGGCAGCACAGUAAGAGCUUGCUCUUACGGGUGGCGAGUGGCGGACGGGUGAGGAAUACAUCGGAAUCUACUUUUUCGUGGGGGAUAACGUAGGGAAACUUACGCUAAUACCGCAUACGACCUACGGGUGAAAGCAGGGGAUCUUCGGACCUUGCGCGAUUGAAUGAGCCGAUGUCGGAUUAGCUAGUUGGCGGGGUAAAGGCCCACCAAGGCGACGAUCCGUAGCUGGUCUGAGAGGAUGAUCAGCCACACUAGAACUGAGACACGGUCCAGACUCCUACGAGAGGCAGCAGUGGGGAAUAUUGGGCAAUGGGCGCAAGCCUGAUCCAGCCAUACCGCGUGGGUGAAGAAGGCCUUCGGGUUGUAAAGCCCUUUUGUUGGGAAAGAAAAGCAGCAGGUUAAGACCCCGCGGUUCUGACGGUACCCAAAGAAUAAGCACCGGCUAACUUCGUG